rnacentral:rRNA from 1 species
UACGUAGGGGGCGAGCGUUGUCCGGAAUUAUUGGGCGUAAAGGGCUCGUAGGCGGUUUGUCGCGUCGGGGGUGAAAACCCAGGGCUUAACUCUGGGCUUGCUUUCGAUACGGGCAGACUAGAGGUAUGCAGGGGAGAACGGAAUUCCUGGUGUAGCGGUGAAAUGCGCAGAUAUCAGGAGGAACACCGGUGGCGAAGGCGGUGCGCUGGGCAUUACCUGACGCUGAGGAGCGAAAGUGUGGGGAGCGAACAGG